rnacentral:sRNA from 1 species
GCCCAAUUUCGCACGUGCCUGUGGUCGUGUGUCAGUCGGUGGGUAUCCGGACAAGAGGCCGGACAGCCGCCAAGGGAUGAAGAAGCCGAGGGUCGCUUACAGUCGAUGAGACUUUAAGAGGCCAGCAUCUCUCUCAAGAGAUGCCGUUGAAGGCGACUUCGCUCCUUGCAACCGUGACUGGCAGCCGGAGGCGAACCGGCGCACCCCGCUCUCAACGGGGGACGCGACUUAAAGCAACGACGGAUCGGGCUUUU